rnacentral:lncRNA from 1 species
UGCAAAUGGAGCAUUUGCCAGCACCCUGUUGCCUGCUUCUUACUGUACAUGUGGUUAACAAGGAAAUGGGAAGAGGGUGUCACCAUUUUAAACAUGCGCCGUCCGCAGUUAGUCCCUUUUCCUAUUGGCACAGCUGCCGACAUUUAUUCAUGCAAGCUUUCAGCUUGCUUAUCGAUGUUUGGAGCUUGAUUUUACAGGCUGUUCUUUGUUAAAAAAGAAAUAAUUUGUGGGCUGCUUUUUAUUAAAAGGAAAGCUUUACGAAGGACUUUCUUGCCCUCACUCACUAUCUGCCUAAAUAAUUUCUUUUUAACUCCUGUAUCAAUAAUAAUGUCAUGGGAAACAUUUAUGAUGUAUUUGUAUGUAUGAAUAAGCAAGAUAGCAAACUCUAGUUGUUCUUUUUAAUUUAUUUUUACAAAAGUGUUGUGUACAAAUGUAAUUUAGUUACAUGCAUAGACUGCAUAGUGGCGAAGUCAGGGCUUUUAGGGUAUCCAUCAUUCAAAUAAUUUACAUUAUAACCCUUAAGUAAUUUCUCAUUAUCCAGCACCCACCCUACCUUCUCACCCUUUUACUUCAGGUUUGCUGGGCCUCAAUGACAAAUAAAACAAAGAUAAAUUAAUUGUUUUCUGGGAGUUAGAAUUAAAAAUCAACCUAAGAGAAAAGAUGACUCCUAAGCCAAAAUUUGUGAUAUAUAUAUAUAUAUAUAUGUGUGUGUAUAUAUACACACACACACAGAAACAUGUUUCUGUGUGUGUGUGUGUGUGUGUAUAUAUUUGUUUAUACUCAAGAAACUUAUCCAGUCUUUCCCUCUGCACAAAUCCAAAAUUAAAGCCAAAUGGUUCUAUGUGAUAAACAUCAUGGUAAUAACUUCAAAAAACAAAAAAAAAAGCUUCCUCCAGUGAAUGUAAAUUUAAAAAAAUGAAACAACUGUUUCUCCAGAUGUGCAGAAAUCAAUAUAAAGACACAUAAAGACAGAGAAAACACAGAAAAGCAAGGUUUAUGACACUUUCAAAGGAACACAAUAAUUCUCCAGUAUUCCAAGAAAAAAAAAAUAAUUGAAAGGACUUUAAAAGACUUUUAGAAGGCUUCAAAAUAUAGAUUUUAAAGAAGCUCAAAGAGAUGCAAAAGAAAUCUAAAAACCAAUACAAAAAUAAAUAAAUAAAUUUAGAGUAUGAAUGGGAAAUGUGCCAAGGAGAUAAAUAUCUUUUAAAAGAAACCAAAACAAAAUUAUGGAACUGAAAGAUUUACUGAAGGAAAAAGAAAAUACAUUCAAUGAUCCAAUAGUAGACUGAAAAGGCAUAAACAGAAUUUUCAGACCUUUAAAUGGGUCUUUUAAAAUAAUCUACUCAGACAAAACUAAGAAGAAUUUUAAAAAACGAACGAAAACUUUGAGAUGUUUCUGACUACAUAAAGUGACUAAACAUAAAAAUUAUCAGUGUUUCUUAGAAAGAAAAAAACAUGAAAAAGUUUAGAAAACCUAUUUAAGAAAAUAAAUGAUGAAAAAUUUCCAAGUCUAGCAAUAGAAUUAGACAUACAUAUACAGGAAGCUCAGCAAUCACCAGUAAAAUAAAUUGCAAAACAGACUUCAUCAUGGCACAUGAUAACCAGAAUUUCUAAAGUCGAAAUGAAAUAACUAAUUAUAAAAUCAGCAAAAGAAAAGCAUCUAGUCAUUUAUAAAGAAAACCACAUCAGACUAAAAGCACACUUCUCAACAGAAACUUUACUGGCCAGAAGAUAAUGGAAUGGCACUUAGAGAGUGUUGAAAUAAAAGUGCCAGCCAAAAAUUUUACAUCAAGGUAAAUUAACCUUCACAAAUGAAGAAGAAAUAGUCUUACCCUGACAAAUAAAUGCUGGGGAAACUAAUUACCACUAGACUGGGUCUAUAAAAGAUGUCAGGGAUUUCUUUUUUUUUUUUUUUUUUUUUUUUCUGAGACAGUUUUGCUCUUGUUGCCCAGGCUGGAGUGCAAUGGCACAAUCUCGGCUCACUGCAACCUCUGCCUUCCAGGUUCAAGUGAUUCUCCUGCCUCAGCCUCCCAAGUAGCUGAAAGUACAGGCACCCGCCACCUCACCCAGCUAAUUUUUGAAUUUUUAGUAGAGACGGAGUUUCACCAUGUUGGCCAGGCUAGUCUCAAACUCCUGACCUCAGGUGAUCAACCCACCUCAGUCUCCCAAAGUGCUGAGAUUUCAGGCAUGAGCCAUUGUGCCAGGCCGGUACUUCUAAUAGAAAAACAAAAGAUUGAUAUUCACCAUCAUUAAAACAUACAAAAGUAUAAAACUAACAGGUCUUAUAAAACAAAAGACAAAAAGAAAUAAAUCAAAUCACAACAUGACAGAAUUUUAUUAAACCAGAAAGAUAGAUGAAAAAAAAAACAAAAUAAUUAACAUUAUGAUAGUAACAAAACCUACAUGUUAAUAUUAAUAUUAACCAUGGCCGGGUGAGGUGGCUCAUACCUUUUGGAGGCCAAAGAGGGUGGAUCACCUGAGAUCAGGAGUUUGAGACCAGCCUGGCCAACACUGUGAAAACCCAUCGCUACUAAAAAUACAAAAAAUUAGCUGGGCACGGUGGUGGGCACUUGUAAUCACCGCUACUCAAUAGGCUGAGGCAGGAGAAUCACUUGAACUUGGGAGGCAGAGGUGGCAGUGAGCCGAGAUCGCACCAUUGCACUCCAACCUGAGCAACAAGAAUGAGACUCCAUCUCAAAAAAUAAAAAGAAAAAGAAAGAAAAAAUUAACCUUGAAUAUAAAUUAAUUAAAUCCUUCAUCAAAAUGUAUAGAUUUAUGAUAUGAAUAAGAAAAAAUCGUCCAACUCUAUGGUGCCUACAAGAAUCUCACCUUACUUGUAAGACACAUAUAGAUUAAAAAUAAGGGAGGAAAGAUAUCAACAGAAACAGAAACCAAAAGCAAACAGGAGUAUCUGUAUGUAUAUCAAAUAAAACACUUUAAAUAAAAAGUGCAACAAAAAGGGUAAAGAAGGUAAUCAUCCAAUAAUAAAGAAAUCUUUUCAGCAAAAAGAUAUAACAAUUCUAAAUAUCUAUGCACCCAACAUCAAAGCACCCAGAUUUUAAAUAGAAAUAUUAUUAAACCUAUAGAAAGAGAUAGUAACACAAUGAUAGUGGAGAAAUUCAACAUUCUACUCACAGCAUCAGAGAGACCAUUGAGAUAGGAAAUUGGCAAAUCAACAAAGUACCCCCAUAAAUCACAAUUAUAUCAACUACCUACUUAGAUCACAGGAGAAUAAAACUACAAAUCAAUAUCAAGAGAAAUUUCAGAAACUAUAAAUUUACAAAGAAUUUAAACAACAUACUCCUGAACAGUCACGGUGUAAAUGAAGUAAUUAAGAUGGCCGGCCAGGGGUGGUGGCUCACAGCUGCAAUCCCAGCACUUUGGGAGGCUGAGGCAGGUGGAUCCCCUGAGGUCAGGAGUUUGAGACUAGCCUGGGCAACAUGGCAAACCCCAUCUCUACAAAAAAUACAUAUUAAAAAAGCUAAAUGUGGUGGUGCACACCUAUAGUCUUAGCCACUCGGGAGGCUGAAAUAAAAAGAUCGCUUUAGCCUGGAAGGCAGAGGUUGCAGUGAGCCAAGAUUGUGCUACUACACUCCAG